rnacentral:rRNA from 1 species
UACGGGGGGGCAAGCGUUGUUCGGAAUUACUGGGCGUAAAGGCUCGUAGGCGGCCAACUAAGUCAGACGUGAAAUCCCUCGGCUUAACCGGGAACUGCGUCUGAUACUGGAUGGCUUGAGUUUGGGAGAGGGAUGCGGAAUUCCAGGUGUAGCGGUGAAAUGCGUAGAUAUCUGGAGGAACACCGGUGGCGAAGGCGGCAUCCUGGACCAACACUGACACUGAGGAGCGAAAGCCAGGGGAGCAAACGGGA